CGAAGGGUGCUAGCGUUGUUCGGAGUCACUGGGCGUAAAGCGCGCGUAGGCGGCUUUUCAAGUCAGGGGUGAAAUCCCACGGCUCAACCGUGGAAUUGCCUUUGAAACUGGGAAGCUAGAGUGUGUGAGGGGAUAGCGGAAUUCCUAAUGUAGAGGUGAAAUUCGUAGAUAUUAGGAGGAACACCGGUGGCGAAGGCGGCUAUCUGGCACAUAACUGACGCUGAGGCGCGAAAGCGCGGGGAUCAAACAGGAUUAGAUACCCUGGUAGUCCGCGCUGUAAACGAUGGAUGCUAGCCGUUGGGGGGAUACCCCUCAGUGGCGCAGCUAACGCGUUAAGCAUCCCGCCUGGGGAGUACGGUCGCAAGAUUA
rnacentral:rRNA from 1 species